rnacentral:misc_RNA from 1 species
GAUGAAGAACGCAGCGAAAUGCGAUAAGUAAUGCGAAUUGCAGAAUUCAGUGAGUCAUCGAAUCUUUGAACGCACAUUGCGCCCUGUGGUAUUCCGCGGGGCAUGCCUGUUCGAGCGUCAUUUCAACCCUCAAGCCCCGCUUGGUGUUGGGCCCCGCCCGCUGUGGCCGGCCCUAAAGACAGUGGCGGCGCCGCCUGGCCCUCAGCGUAGUACAUCUCUCGCUCCAGGGUCCGGUGGCCGCCUGCCAGAACCCCCCAACUCUGUGGUUGACCUCGGAUCAGGUAGGGAUACCCGCUGAACUUAAGCAUAUCAAUAAGCGGAGGA